rnacentral:tRNA from 1 species
GGAGGGGUUCCCGAGUGGCCAAAGGGAUCAGACUGUAAAUCUGACGCGYAAGCUUCGGUGGUUCAAAUCCACCCCCCUCCACCA